rnacentral:rRNA from 1 species
GUGUCAGCAGCCGCGGUAAUACGUAUGGGGCAAGCGUUGUCCGGAAUUAUUGGGCGUAAAGGGUACGUAGGCGGUUAAUUAAGUCUGAAUUAAAAGGCUGUGGCUCAACCACAGUAAGGUCCAGAUACUGAUUAACUUGAGUAGAUGAGGGGAAAGUGGAAUUCCAUGUGUAGCGGUGAAAUGCGUAGAUAUAUGGAGGAACACCAAUGGCGAAGGCAACUUUCUGGAAUCAAACUGACGCUGAGGUACGAAGGCGUGGGGAGCAAACAGGAUUAGAUACCCCUGUAGUCC